CAGUCGCCGCGGGAAUACGUAGGGGGCAAGCGUUGUCCGGAAUCAUUGGGCGUAAAGCGUGUGUAGGCGGCUCGAUAAGUCUGCUGUGAAAGUCCAGGGCUCAACCCUGGAAUGCCGGUGGAAACUGUCGAGCUCGAGUCCGGAAGAGGCAAGUGGAAUUCCUGGUGUAGCGGUGAAAUGCGCAGGUAUCAGGAGGAACACCAAUGGCGAAGGCAGCUUGCUGGGACGGUACUGACGCUGAGACGCGAAAGCGUGGGGAGCAAACAGGAUUAGAUACCCCGGUAGUCCCUGUCUCUUAUAC
rnacentral:rRNA from 1 species